AUUGAACGCUGGCGGCAGGCUUAACACAUGCAAGUCGAGCGAGAGGCGGACGGGUGAGUAAUGUAUGGGAAACUGCCUGAUGGAGGGGGCUAACUACUGGAAACGGUAGCUAAUACCGCAUACCAUCAGAUGUGCCCAGAUGGGAUUAGCUAGUAGGUGGGGUAAUGGCUCACCUAGGCAACGAUCCCUAGCUGGUCUGAGAGGAUGACCAGCCAAACGGGAACUGGGACACGGUCCAGACCCCUACGGAAGGCAGCAGUGGGGAAUAUUGCACAAGGGUCGCAAGCCUGAUGCAGCCAGGCCGGGGGUGUGAAGAGGGCCUUCGGGUUGUAAAGCACUUUCAGCGAGGAGGCGUUACCCGCAGAGGAAGCACCGGCUAACUCCGUGCCAGCAGCCGCGGUAAUAC
rnacentral:rRNA from 1 species